GACGAACGCUGGCGGCGUGCCUAAUACAUGCAAGUCGAGCGGAUCUGAUGAAGUGCUUGCACUUCUGAUGGUUAGCGGCGGACGGGUGAGUAACACGUAGGCAACCUGCCUGCAAGCCCGGGAUAACAUUCGGAAACGAAUGCUAAGACCGGAUACGCAGCUUGGUCGCAUGACUGAGCUGGGAAAGACGGAGCAAUCUGUCGCUUGUAGAUGGGCCUGCGGCGCAUUAGCUAGUUGGUGAGGUAACGGCCCACCAAGGCGACGAUGCGUAGCCGACCUGAGAGGGUGAACGGCCACACUGGGACUGAGACACGGCCCAGACUCCUACGGGAGGCAGCAGUAGGGAAUCUUCCACAAUGGACGCAAGUCUGAUGGAGCAACACCGCGUGAGUGAGGAAGGCCUUCGGGUCGUAAAGCUCUGUUGCCAGGGAAGAACGCCUAGGAGAGUAACUGCUCUUAGGGUGACGGUACCUGAGAAGAAAGCCCCGGCUAACUACGUGCCAGCCGCCGCGGUAACAC
rnacentral:rRNA from 1 species